CUACCUGAGUGCCAAAUUUGAUUCAAAUCUGUCCAGCUGUUGCAACUAGACAUCCAAACAUUUUCACAAACUUUCGCAUUUAUAAUGAUCGGCCGGCGAAGACCAACCUGCACAACAGAGCACACACACUCGGCAUAAGCAAUGUGACCACCGACGCACCGACCAAAUCAUGCAGACCACAUACCCAUGAGUCUUGCCCCAAGAUAACGUGACCUACACGAUAUUUAUUGUACUUAUAACUUUAAUUAACGAAUCUAGUCGCCAUAGCACUAUUUAAAACGAAGCAUCUUAGAGUAACUGAACGAAGUGGAAGUACAAAAAGUACAGCGAGAGUACAAACGAGCCGGGAUGAGCUAAUGUUGAUUUAACAAUAAAUUGAUACGAUUAGAGGUCCCCCGGUGACGAUACAAUGUCUACUACAAGCUUUGAGCACUCGGCGAUGAAAAGCAGCUUCUCGCUGUCGUCGCUGCGGUCGGCGGUCGCUCCGCCGGCGGGCCAGUGCGAUCAGCUCGAGAGGCCGUACCACAGUCUUACCAAAAAGAGGAAGGAGCCAUGUCGCGAGGCGUGGCGGCGCUCGUGGGGCUCGACCGCGAGCGGAGGCAGCGCCGGCGACGAUCUUUGGCCGCUGCUGCAGAGGCA